UUCCAUGUUGAUCGGAGCUGCUUCGCUC
rnacentral:sRNA from 1 species